AUUGUGUUCAUCUCUACAGGAUCAGACCAGGAGAGACGAUCAUAGCCACGAUCCAGAAGACCUGUGACAGGAAGUGAAGACACAGAGAAAGUUUAUUCAUCACGGGGCGAGUUUGAGACGUACAGAGGAGCGUGGAGGCAUUUUGGAAAAUAAAGAAGAAGGCUGCAGCUGAUGAGAGACUUCCUGUUGGCUCUCCUCAAUAUGAAAUGAACAAAAACAAUCAAUUGUACUUAAAGCUUUUCUUAAAGAUGUGUUGCACAUACACCUGCUGCUACCUACCACCACCUCCCACCCAUCCCGGCACCAAAGAGGAGACUCCAUCGACCCCAGAUACCCCAACUC